rnacentral:tRNA from 1 species
GGCGGUAAAGUUUCAUUUACAAUGAAAAUGACCCACAAGGCGUCUGUAUAGAUAUAGACUGGUUAA